GAUGAACGCUGGCGGCGUGCCUAACACAUGCAAGUCGAACGUGAUCCUAUUUCGGUAGGUGAAAGUGGCGCACGGGUGCGUAACACGUUGGUGACCUGCCCCGAGGUGGGGGAUAACUAUGGGAAACCAUAGCUAAUACCCCAGAUGUCUAAGUGUUUAGAAAGCUUAGACUAAAGUUCCGACGCCUCGGGAGGGGCCUGCGGGCUAUCAGCUUGUUGGUAGGGUAACGGCCUACCAAGGCUAAGACGGUUAGGGGGCGUGAGAGCGCGACCCCCCACAAUGGAACUGAGACACGGUCCAUACUCCUACGGGAGGCUG
rnacentral:rRNA from 1 species